CGACGCGACCGAGGCCCCGAGAAGCAGGAAGAGGAUGAAGGACGCGAGGAGCACAAAGAGUUCCACGGAGUGAUCCUCGCUUCAGGGUUUCCAGCGCAGCAUGCCGCGCAGCACGUAGAAGAGGGCGAUUGCCGAGCCGACGGGCACGGCGAGAUAGAAGAUCACCUGCGGCAUGUCGGGCAUGGUGUAAAAGCUGGCAUUGCGCUGUUUCCAGGCGACGAGGGUGCCGGAGUAGAGCAGCGCUCCGACCGCGACCGCCUCAACCAGCCGCCGCAGCAGGUCCGCGGCCCGCCCGACCUUCCUGCCGAACAGGCUCAUUACCGCGUCGACCCUGAUAUGUGAGUCACGGGCAAACGCCGCCGCAGCUCCGAGAAACGUGAUCCAUACGAAGAGAUAACGUCCGACUUCCUCCGCCCAGGUCUGCGGACUGU
rnacentral:misc_RNA from 1 species